GUCUACGGCCACGCCACCCUGAACAAGCCCCAUGUCUGAUCUCCGAAGCUAAGCAGGGUUGGGCCUGGUUAGUACUUGUAUGAGAGACCACCUAGGAAGACCAGGUGCUGUAGGCA
rnacentral:rRNA from 1 species